rnacentral:rRNA from 1 species
UACGGGGGGAGCAAGCGUUGUUCGGAUUUACUGGGCGUAAAGGGCGCGUAGGCGGCGUGACAAGUCACUUGUGAAAUCUCCGGGCUUAACUCGGAACGGUCAAGUGAUACUGUCGUGCUAGAGUACAGAAGGGGCAACUGGAAUUCUCGGUGUAGCGGUGAAAUGCGUAGAUAUCGGGAGGAACACCUGUGGCGAAAGCGGCUCACUGGACCAUUACUGACGCUGAUGCACGAAAGCUAGGGGAGCAAACAGG